rnacentral:lncRNA from 10 species
AUGAAUGAACGAAGGAGGGGAGAGAAGAAGGAAGGAAUCAGCCUCAUGGAACAGGGAGGUUUAGAGAAUCCUGGCAAAGGAAGAGGCGCCGUGCCAGCCAGGUGGCUCAUCUGUAAAGUGGGCGGCAGCACCGUGAGGACCCAGCCAGGUGACCGAUCACAUGCAAGGUUCUGAUGGAGUCACAAGCUGGUCACUGCCGCUGGUCCUGUCCGCUGGGUGCAGUAGACACGGAGGUAGGGGACCCUUGUGCCUGUGAGAACAGAGCAGACAGGAAGCCGGAGAGGACAGCAGGCACGGAAGCCGGAGGGGACAGCAG